ACCUGGGUGGCUCAGUCAGUUAAGCAUCUGACUCUGGCUCAGGUCAUGAUGUCACGGUUUGUGAGUUCAAGCCCCACUUCGGGUG
rnacentral:tRNA from 1 species